CCUACGGGAGGCUGCAGUGAGGAAUAUUGGUCAAUGGGCGAGAGCCUGAACCAACCAAGUCGCGUGAGGGAAGACGGUCCUACGGAUUGUAAACCUCUUUUGUCAGGGAGCAAGGAGCGCCACGAGUGGUGCGGCGAGAGUACCUGAAGAAAAAGCAUCGGCUAACUCCGUGCCAGCAGCCGCGGUAAUACGGAGGAUGCGAGCGUUAUCCGGAUUUAUUGGGUUUAAAGGGUGCGCUGGCGGAAGCGGCAAGUCAGCGGUAAAAUUGCGGGGCCCAACCUCGCCGAGCCGUUGAAACUGCUCAUCUGGAGUGGGCGAGAAGUAUGCGGAAGGCGUGGUGGAGCGGUGAAAGGCAUAGAGAUCACGCAGAACUCAGAGUGCGAAGGCAGCAUACCGGCGCCCAACUGACGCGCAUGCACGAAAGCGUGGGUAGCGAACAGGAUGAGAUACACGGGUAGUC
rnacentral:rRNA from 1 species